UUUUAGUAGAAUUUACAAGCCAUUACCCAUCACAUCUAGAACAUUACUGGAGCUGUCGAGAUAAAGGAAUCAGCGUAGAAACAUUGUUCCACUGGGAAAUGUAAAAUGGCAUAAAGUUGGUCCCUCAACAGCCAAGCUGUCAGAUCCUUUGAGGAGCGGAAACAGGGAACCCACACAGCAUAUGGUGGUAGUUGGCUGUUCCCAGGGAAAGCUGUCUGGCUCUCUUAAAAUACAGACAGCCAAAGCAUUUGAGAAGUACUCUUGAAUGAAUCGAUGCAUUACUUCCUAAACUCCCUUCAAAUCUGAGUACCUGUUAAUGUUGGGUGGUUAUGACAUCAGAAUUCUACUGCACUUCCUAAAUCCUCAGAAUAAAUCGUCACAGCAGUUUCUUCUAGUAUGACUGUAAUAGCAGAAAUGCCCCCAUUAGGAUCAUUCCAACAGGACAGAUUUUCCUCUUGUUUUAUUCCCAAGCAAUCCCCCAGGCAAAUAUUCAGUUAAAAUACUUCAAAGCAAUGUCUGCGUAACAAAAGUUUACAAUUUUGCAGAGCUCAGUAAGACCUUUCAGGAUUAGAUUUCUCUAAUCUGAAGCCUGGCCCUAAUGCAUAUUUAUGAACAUGGAGGCUUACCAUUGUGCAGCCAAAUUGUGUAUAGUACAAUUUGUUUAUGAUAAAAUUUACACAUGCAAGGGCUACUGUUCUUGUAAAUAAGUAGCUUGUAAAGGCACUUGCAAUUAUAUGCAGUCCUCUUUUCAGGCCUGCUGUUUUUUUUUUCUACCAAAUCUGAUGAGAAAUAAACUUCAGCAAGAUUUUGCAUAACACUUUUUAGUAUAACUGCAUGUCUCCUUGUACUCUUUCUUGGCCUACUGGCUCUGAUCUCUCUAAAGGAGGUUUAACAUCCUUCAUUUAGACUCUAAAAUGGAUAGUGUGAACUAUCCGAAGUUCAAUUUCUACUAUGUAAUUCAGGCUAAUAAGCCUAGAAAUGGUUUUUGUAGAAAACCAGAUAAUAGCUUCUCCCUAGAUUGCUUUUUGCCAUAAUCAUUUUAUUUGGUGGCAUCUCAUCACAAGGCUGAUGGGGCCAUGCCUCUUUGCAAAUGGAUAAUGAAGCACUGCAAAAAAAGCCCUGCCAUAUUUUAAUUAGGAAUAAAGUACGUUAUGUGCCAACUUGUAACAUGUAGAGCAGGAAAGAGAUUUGCAAUGAAACACAUUUCCU
rnacentral:lncRNA from 7 species